rnacentral:rRNA from 1 species
UACGUAGGGUGCGAGCGUAAUCGGAAUUACUGGGCGUAAAGCGUGCGCAGGCGGUUCGUUAAGUCAGAUGUGAAAGCCCCGAGCUCAACUUGGGAACUGCAUUUGAAACUGGCGGGCUGGAGUGUGGCAGAGGGGGGUGGAAUUCCAGCGGUGUAGCAGUGAAAUGCGUAGAGAUGUGGAGGAACACCAGUGGCGGAAGGCGGCUCACUGGCCCGGUACUGACGCUGAGGCGCGAAAGCGUGGGGAGCAAACAGG